UAGGGAAUCUUCGGCAAUGGGGGCAACCCUGACCGAGCAACGCCGCGUGAGUGAAGAAGGUUUUCGGAUCGUAAAACUCUGUUGUUAGAGAAGAACACGAGUGAGAGUAACUGUUACAUUCGAUGACGGUAUCUAACCAGCAAGUCACGGCUAACUACGUGCCAG
rnacentral:rRNA from 1 species